rnacentral:rRNA from 1 species
AUGAUCGAUUGGUGACUGAGUGGCGGACGGGUGAGUAACGCGUGAGUAACCUGCCUUUCAGAGGGGGAUAACGUUCUGAAAAGAACGCUAAUACCGCAUAAGAUUGUAGCUUCGCAUGGAGCAGCAAUCAAAGGAGCAAUCCGCUGAAAGAUGGACUCGCGUCCGAUUAGAUAGUUGGCGGGGUAACGGCCCACCAAGUCGACGAUCGGUAGCCGGACUGAGAGGUUGAUCGGCCACAUUGGGACUGAGACACGGCCCAGACUCC